rnacentral:rRNA from 1 species
GACGAACGCUGGCGGCGUGCUUAACACAUGCAAGUCGAACGGGCCCGCCCCUGUUUUUGGGGGUGGGUUGAGUGGCGAACGGGUGAGUAUCACGUGAGUAACCUGCCCCCUGCUCCUGGAUAACUGCUUGAAAGGGCGGCUAAUACGGGGUGUGCCGGCUGGUCCGCAUGGGCCUGGUCUGGAUAGUUUCAUCUUCGGGUGUUUCGGUGGGGGAUGGGGUCGCGGCCUAUCAGCUGGUUGGUGGGGUGGUGGCCCACCACGGCGGGGACGGGCAGCCGGCCUGAGCGGGUGGGCGGCCACCGUGGGACGGCGACACGGCCCAGACUCCGGCGGGCGGCACCAGUGGGGGGUAUGGCACCAUGGGCGGAAGCCUGAUGCCGCGACGUCGCGUGAGGGACGGAGGCCUUCGGGUUGUGAACCUCUUUCUCCGGUGGUGAAGGCCCUGUCCGGUGCGGCGGGGUUGACGGUAGCCGGGUAUGAAGCGCCGGCUAACUACGUG